rnacentral:misc_RNA from 1 species
UUUAGAUUUUAUUUUAUUUUUCUUCCCAUUACCGCCGUGCCGCUAUCGAAAAAUGUGAAGAAAGAUCACCGUAGUGCAUCUUCGCCGCUUCACAAACCCCAAACGCUAAACAUAAAACCCUAUCACCGGUUGUUCUUUCUCUGAACACACCGUAAGUACCUGAGUCAUGUCAAUGGCGAAACCUAGUUCAGCUUCCAACUCCGAUGAUACGACGCCGUACCGCGCCGUGUUCAUAGACACCGGCCUCGGCACUCACUUGGCUACUAUCGUCUCCAGCACCGACACCGUUGCCGAUCUCAAGCAGAAGAUAAUCCAUGAACACCCACUUUGCUUUCCUCAAUUUGGGGAGAUUAAAAUCCAUGCUAUAAAGGUAAAGAGGAGGGAGUGUUAUUAUCAUUUAUCGGAUUCCAUGUUGGUGAAAAGUGCCUUUCAUGGAGUUAAUAAAAGUUGGUUCAUUAGUGUUGAUGCCUCUAGUGCAAAGCAGCAUGAUGAUAAUCAGCAUUGCCUCAAUCUUGAUUCUAACAACAUGGUUGCUUGCGAUGGUAUCAUCAGCAAUGGUUCUGCUCAAGGGGUUAAGCUUCUUCUUAAUGGUCAUCCUGAAAAGUUGUCCAAUGUUAUGGAUAAACAGCACUUUGAUCCAAAAGCUGUUGUUACUGAUCGGUUGGGUUUGGAUGUUGCUGGGGGAGACGUUUUAAAUAAUUUGGAGAUAGGAGUUGAACAUAUGGGUGACAAUAAUGACGAAACUAAAUCCGCACAUAUCAACAAUAGGCCAGAUUCUCACACACAAGAGAAAAGGGAUCAAUGCGAUAAUGAAAACGAAAGUCAGAAAACACCAAUUGGAGGUAGGGAAAGCGGCUUCAAGACUGGAAUUGAUGAUGUGCAGGGCAGCUUACUGCCAGAAAGUGCUUUAGAAACUGGAUCUCGUACAAAGAAAAAACGUAAAAGUAGGAAAAGAUGUAAACAUGCUGUACGUGACCUAACUUUGGAAGAAACCAAUGCUGCAUUACCUGAAUCUGGUAAGAAUGAAUCACAGCAAGAGAUUAUAGCGUCACAAAGUUUUCUAGAAAAUGCAAUUGGAGUAGUUCCACAGGAUACAGUGACAGAAAAUGAGAAUAUUAAUGAUGAGCCAAGAAUGGUUUCCUAUUCUAAUGCCAAUAAGGGGACUGAUUAUGUAAUGCCAAGUGCAAGUGUUCUGAUUGAGGGGACUGGAAUGCUAGAGAAACAUAAUGAAAGAAAAAAUGAUAAAUCGAGAAAAACUGACAUUGAUGUGCAGUGUUUUAAAUCAGUGGAAGAUACUUCACAAUCAAAGCCAGUAGCAAAGAAAAAGCGUAAAUUUGAAGAAGAAAAAAAAGAUGAUGAAUGUUUGCUGAAAGAAGAUCGAACUUUGAUUUCUGAUAUGCUUGAGACUCCCACAAUCUCUCAGCACUCCCUAGUGGACAAACUGAAAAAUAUAGAUGGCAUUUGGGAUGGUUCAUCUACUGACACUCCUGAAGUUGUCCAUUUGCAGUCAGUAUAUCCAACCAAUGAAAAGAGAAAGAAGAAAAAGAAAUCAUCAAACACUCUUAAUCAAGAAAUUGCUCCAGUUCCUUCUUCUGGGGCAAAUGUUAGGGAAGAGAAUUGUGGGGAACCCAAGGAUUUGGGUGAAGAAUUUGAUGCAGAACUUGUCCAUGGAAAACACGUCCAGGGUGUAAUAAGUUCUGAGCUUGUUGUGGUCUCUUUGAAAGAAAAGCAUAGAAAUCCUUUCCAAGAAGCAAACUUAAGGCCCUCUUCCCAAGAAUUUGAUAUAGUCAACGGAGAAGCCAGCAAUGUGGAAGGCAGACAUAGUGAAAUUGUGGAUCCUUCAAAAUCUUCAAAGAAAAGAAAGAAGUCCAAAAAAGCAAAGGAUAUAGUGAGUGGAACACCGUCCAUAUCUGUUAAGGAAUGGGUUAAAGGUUGUGUUAGUGGUACAUCUCCAGCUGAGCCUAAUAAAACUGCCAAUAGAGAUCACUCUGAUGAUAACAAUAAUAAACAGGAAUUCAAUAUACCUUCAAAGGACAGGAAAGAAGCAUCAGAAAUAGAUACAAUUAGUACUUCUUUUUUGGCUACUGAUAAGGAAAUUGAUGAUGUAAUCCAGAAUGUGGUGGAAUCAGUGCAGCAGAUCAGAAAAGGACAAGUGGAUUCUGAAAAUAUGAAUGGGAAAUCAAGAAAGAAAACUAGGAAGAAGCCAAGUUCAGAUGUAAAGGAUAUUACAGAAUCCAAAAAAGAAAAUGAGAAUGUUGGUGAUAAACCUGCUGCAUCAGCUGAUAACGUAGGGGAGGUAGCUAAGGUGAUGAAACAAGCUAAGUUGGCAAAUACAGAUUCCAUAAUUCAAUUAAAUGGAUCAAAUUUGGAGGGUGAAAAGGAUAUUAUGGUUGAAAAUGAUCCUCUCAGUACUCAAUCAUCCCAAGUUAAACCACAUAGACUGGAAAGCAACAGUGAGGGAAGGUGUCUCAAAGCUGUUGUCAAUGUUAAUCCUUCUGAAAGUGGCCGUGCAAAUGAAGAUACUGAUGAUAAGGAAGUUUGUUGCGAAAGUAACAGGAUCAACUUCAAUUAUUAUUUUGUGCCUAGCCAACAUAGCCAUGAAAUUGUUGGUUCUGCUGAGGUGCUUGUUGACAGAGCAACCGAAACGAAGAGAUUAGAUGGUAAGAUGAAAGCUAAAAAGAGCAAAAAGAAGCAUGAUGCGAAUUCUCAUGGUCCUUCACCUGAUUUACAGAGUUCACAGGGGUUAAAUGAGAACCAUGGAGUUGGAGCAAAGCCUCAAGCUGACAACUCUAGUACUAUAGUGCUUCAGAGUUUAUUGUCAAAUUCAGAGUCUGAAAAGAUCACGUGUCAACCAAACAAGGAGCUUUUGAAUGCUUCUGAUAGUUUGGUAAUAGCUUUGCCAUCUAGCAACUCUGAUGAGUUCAAUAAUGUUCGUGAAGAAGCUAGAAGAUCUAUCACUGUCGAGCCCUCUGGGAUCAGUGCCCAUGCAAAGAGUAAAAGGGCUGCGUCAAAUUCUAGCUUGGAACGUUCUAAAAAAACAAAUUUUCUGAAUACAAGAGUUAAUGGGCAUCAAUCGCAUGAGGAUGACAAUCAUAUGAAUGGUAAAAAAUCAUCCCCGAUUAGUACUGGGGAAGUUGUGAAUAACUCGGAAACUAAGAAGAGCUUAAUAGGAGCAUCAGGUUCAAUAUUCAACGAAGAUAGUAAUGAGGCUUCUUCAAAUGAAGCUGAUAAUUCAGAUGCCAGCACCAGAACUCCAUCAGAUAAUUCAUUGUCUUCUGACUAUUCGGAUGGAGAAAGCAAUACAGAUUUUGACUCAUCACAAAAUGGUAAUCUGAAAUAUGUUUUGUGGACUUGUUAGUGCCUAUUAUGUUUGAGCGAAAAGCCAUUGUCUGAUCAAUUGUGCUUUUGCAAUGUUGUGUCUCUUUAGAAUGAGUGAACAUAUAAUGGAUGCUUGUUUUAUAAUUUAUUGCUGCCACUGUUAGAUGCGCAUCAGCUAAUGCACGUUUGGUUUUGAAGGAAAGCCUUUAUAUGUGAAAAGCUUUGAACAGAUACUAUAUCUGGCAUUAGUAUUAUCGCUCAUAUUAUAUCAUAUCUUGUUUUUCACUUUUUUUUUAAAUAAAUAAUGUGCUGAGCUUUUGUUUAAAUUGAAAUUUGCCACAGGAUUUCACAGCAGGAAAAGAAAGGAGGGAGGUGGAAAAGCAUUCACAAAAACAUUGUAAGUGAGAUCAAAUAUUCCUCUCAUCAUCAUCAGUGGUGGACUAUAGGCAUUGAUCAUUUAAUUGCGUUUGCCUUCUUCAAUUCACUUUCAGUUCCAAACAUUAGAAAGCAAUUGUACACAUUGAUGUCUUUGCAAAAAGGUUGAAUUUCUAUGCUUCUUUCAUAGGAUCACUCUUAAAUUUAUCCUCUACCUUUCAUUUAAGCAGCUCUUCUGGCAUGACCUUGGAUACGAUUCUUAGAAGUUCAAGCAAAUACAAGAAAGCGAAGCUGACAGCUUCUCAGUCACAACUCGAGGACACAGAAAGCCAGCCUGUUGAUUUCGUCCCUGACAGUCAACCAAACCCUUAAUCGCCCAGUCAUUUGUCAUGUUUGAUUUUAUGUUCCUACAGGAGUUUUGUUUUCUUAGCGGUGGUCUGCAGAGGCCUCUCCUACGUUCCUGGAAUUAUUUUCGGCUGACAGUGAGGCAUCAGGCAAUGAAGUGAGAUUUUUGUUCACCUUGAUUGUGAUAUGAGAAGCAUUGCAAAGAACAUUGAAACGACCUGAGGUUGGGAUGCUUCAUGCUUGUUUCUUUGAUAUUGGCAAAUAUGAACUGUGUGCAUAUAUGUACUCGGAACUUGUCAAGAGAAUUCCAGUAAAAAAGAGAGAACUCUUCACUUCCUUUUUUUUUUUUUGGGUGGGUUUCUCCAAUUUUUUUUUUAGUAGGGAAAGUGGGCAAAUGAGGGACUCGGACCUAGUUUUGUUAUAUUAGCCAAACUAGAUAAAAAUUUUAGAACUUUAUUUAUUUGUGAAUUCAUAAUUAUAGAUAAACAUUAUGGUGAGAGAGAAUUAUGAUGAGAAUAUUCUUUUGUCUGCUAAAGACAAACAACUCUUUGGCUUUACGUUCAUUCUACUUAACAAACCAAAUAUAAAUAUAAUGUUUU